AGAGUUUGAUCCUGGCUCAGGAUGAACGCUGGCGGCGUGCCUAAUACAUGCAAGUCGAACGAGGAGCCUCAGCACUUGUAUUCGUACUCGUGCAGGGGAUUUCCUAGUGGCGAACGGGUGAGUAACGCGUUGGUGACCUGCCCCGAAGAGAGGAAUAACAGUUCGAAAGGACUGCUAAUACCUCAUGUGGUCAUGAGACUUAGAACCUCAUGUCUAAAGGAGUAAUCCACUUUGGGAGGGACCUGCGUCCCAUCAGCUAGUUGGUAGGGUAACGGCCUACCAAGGCAACGACGGGUAGGGGACCUGAGAGGGUGGCCCCCCACAAUGGAACUGAAACACGGUCCAUACACCUACGGGUGGCAGCAGUAGGGAAUAUUGCACAAUGGGCGAAAGCCUGAUGCAGCAACGCCGCGUGUGCGAUGAAGGCCUUCGGGUCGUAAAGCACUUUUUGAGAGGAUGAGAAAGGACAGUACUCUCAGAAUAAGUCUCGGCUAACUACGUGCCAGCAGCCGCGGUAACACGUAGGAGGCAAGCGUUAUCCGGAUUUACUGGGCGUAAAGCGCGUGCAGGUGGUUUGGUAAGUUGGAUGUGAAAUCUCCCGGCUCAACUGGGUGAGGUCGUUCAAAACUGCUAGACUAGAGGACGGUAGAGGAAGGCGGAAUUCCCGGUGUAGUGGUGAAAUGCGUAGAUAUCGGGAGGAACACCAGUGGCGAAAGCGGCCUUCUAGCCCGUGCCUGACACUAAGACGCGAAAGCUAGGGUAGCAAACGGGAUUAGAGACCCCGGUAGUCCUAGCCGUAAACGAUGUCAACUAGGCGUUGGUGGGUUAAUAGCCAUCAGUGCCGCAGCUAACGCGAUAAGUUGACCGCCUGGGGACUACGAUCGCAAGAUUAAAACUCAAAGGAAUUGACGGGGCCCCGCACAAGCAGCGGAGCGUGUGGUUUAAUUCGAUGCUACACGAAGAACCUUACCUGGGCUUGACAUGUCGAUGAACGAUUGCGAAAGCAUGAGGCUCCCUUCGGGGACAUCGUCACAGGUGUUGCAUGGCUGUCGUCAGCUCGUGUCGUGAGAUGUCCGGUUAAGUCCGGUAACGAGCGCAACCCUCGCCGUAUGUUAUAUGUGUCAUGCGGGACCGCCGGUUUCAAGCCGGAGGAAGGUGGGGAUGACGUCAAGUCAGCAUGGCCUUUAUGUCCAGGGCUACACACACGCUACAAUGGCCGGUACAAUGGGUUGCCAAACCGCAAGGUGGAGCCAAUCCCCCAAAGCCGGCCUCAGUUCAGAUUGCAGGCUGCAACUCGCCUGCAUGAAGUCGGAGUUGCUAGUAAUCGCGCGUCAGCUAUAGUGCGGUGAAUACGUUCUCGGGGCUUGUACACACCGCCCGUCACGUCAUGGAAGCUGGUAACACCUGAAGCCAGUAGCUCAACCCUCACGGGAGAGCGCUGUCUAAGGUGGGGCUGGUAACUAGGACGAAGUCGUAACAAGGUAGGUGUACCGGAAGGUGCGCCUGG
rnacentral:rRNA from 1 species